rnacentral:misc_RNA from 1 species
AUAAUAGUUUCAUUCAUCUGAGCUACUUUUCACUUUCAAGCUUACUAUGGCUUUCUUUAGGGAAUAUUACAAUUAUUACUCUGUAAUUUGAAUACAAAUACAGUACAAAUCAUAUGCAAUUAUCCAGCAAGAAGAUUUAUUAAGUAGUUCACUUUAUGACUGCAAGCUAUACAUUAACCUUACUUUUGUUAGCUAAAACAGCGUAGACUUUGACGAGCUCUUCCUUCACCAUGAAAAGUACAGAGGCUGCAAAGACACUCUGCACUAUUUUUGUGCGCAUUCCUUGAUAGAAGCAUCUGAAUCCUUCGUGAUGAAUCAUCUUAAUAAUAGCAUCGACUGUACCUGAAUAUCGUAAUGAGACAUUUCCACUAAUCUCCUGCUUUGCUUGAAGCCUUGACUUCACAACCAACAAUGGAUAUGUGCAUACAGUUGCUCCAAGUUUAGCAAAGGCUCCGAUAAUAAAAACUUCCAAAGCAGUUAUAUUCUGCUGGUCUUUAUUCUUCGCAGCACGUUUAGCCCUUAACUGCUUCGACAAACUCUCAAUAAUCAUGAACUGAAUCGAGGGAUUAGACACCAUGAUCAAUGCUGGGAUGACUCCUUUCCAGAAUCCUGUGACUCCUGAUUCAUUAUAAACCUCUCGUGCUGCUUGCAAUGUCCCGUAAGGAUGAGGUUUCAACGAAUCAAGUUCAGCGAGCUGUACUUCCAAGGAAGAAGCUGUCAAGACACUUUGAGAAGCUUCUUUUAAUAGGGUUUCCCUUUUUGCCUCCACGAUUUUCCUUUCUGCUUGUGUAUGAGUCUGCAUACGAGUAACUAGAACCCAUAUAGGGUUUGUCAACAAUACAUUUACUGAACCUGCAAGAGCUGCCACAACGAGCCAAGAAAGCAUCCCAACAGAACCAUCCCCUCGGCCUCUUUUCUUAUUUGCAGCUGCUAUAGCCUCAGCCCUGUUCUUGAAAACCUGGUAAAAAUAGUAGUAGACACCCUGUGACACGGCAGUUCCGAGCAGAGAAGGCUUCAGGCCACUGUAAAGCCCUGGCAAGCCUUCACUUCUAACCACCUGUAAGAUUUGAAACAGGGCACUGCCACGAGAAUCACGGCCCUCUCUCGAGACCCUCUCAGUCUGCUGCCGUGUAUUGACAGUUUGGAGGGGGUAAGUAAUUAUUUGUGCAAUUAUGCCCCCACCAGCUCCAGCCAGCCCAUUAGCCAAGGCACUUGACAUUUUUCAGUCUUUACUGCUCAGCGUAAAGACAAUGGUUCUGCCAGAAACACAAACUUCUAUUGCAGAACACAGAUCCUGCCACAGUGAUCAUACUGCACAGCAACUAACAAACCGAGAUGCCAUCCCAAUAGUUGGCAUGCCCAGUAUAGACGGACAACAAUCCUUCAACACCGAUAAUGGAGUUUUCCUUUUCAACAAAAAUGGUUGUUUAUGAAACAGUGAAGGCGGCUCUGAUUGGGCAAAAGGAAAAAAAC